GACGAACGCUGGCGGCGUGCUUAACACAUGCAAGUCGAACGGUGAAGCGCCUUCCUUUUUGGUGGGUGUGGAUGAGUGGCGAACGGGUGAGUAACACGUGAGUAACCUGCCCCCUUCUUCUGGAUAACCGCAUGAAAGUGUGGCUAAUACGGGAUAUUCUGGGUCUGUCGCAUGAUGGGUCUGGGAAAGAUAUUGUUUCGGUGGGGGAUGGGCUCGCGGCCUAUCAGCUUGUUGGUGGGGUGAUGGCCUACCAAGGCGGUGACGGGUAGCCGGCCUGAGAGGGUGGACGGUCACACUGGGACUGAGACACGGCCCAGACUCCUACGGGAGGCAGCAGUGGGGAAUAUUGCACAAUGGGCGCAAGCCUGAUGCAGCGACGCCGCGUAAGGGAUGGAGGCCUUCGGGUUGUGAACCUCUUUCGCCAGUGAAGCAGGCCUGCCUCGUUUGUGGGUGGGUUGACGGUAGCUGGAUAAGAAGCGCCGGCUAACUACGUG
rnacentral:rRNA from 1 species